UUGUUGCACAGAAAGGGAUAUUUUAAGACCCAGGAAUCUGAAGGGAUUAUUAAAACGGAGAUACGGCGACUGGGUGUGAAGCACAAACUUCAGGCAAAGCUUGGAGCGGGGAUAAUUGGCACAGACAGUAAAUGUCGCACAGAAGGAAGGUCACUCAUUGGACAAGUAAAGAGCGAUUCUCACGGGCAAUGUUGAAUAGAGCUUUUACCUACUAAUUUGGAACGCAUUUCAUCUGUUGAACAUCACUACUUUAAGGGGCCCUGAGGGCAAUGUGUGAGGCUCAGAAAGCAGUAGCCCAAGCAAUCAGGACUUCAGACAGAGAGCUCUUUUGUGGCUUUGGACAAUCAUCAUCAGUCCAUUCCUACUAAGAGAGAUCAAACCAUUCAACAACGUCGAAAGUUGCCUACUUCAAGAGGAAAUAUGCGGAAGAGGAGGAUUUACAUGGAGACCUACAUGGAUAUUUUCAAAAACACCUGAUACUACAAGAGGAUCGCAGCUGCAUCCUCAAAAUCUCCCUGGAGAAGCUGAGGUAUCUGGAGGACCCGGAGGCGUACCUGCGACGCUCGGUGCUCAUCAACAACCUCCUGAGGAAGAUCCACCAUGAGGAGGAGAAAAGAAGCAGGGGGCUGGCACCAGGCCGCCCGCAGGGAGGAGACUUCUCUACCCAGACAGGAAGCGGGUGAAGGUGGUGGUGCAGACUGCUGUUCUCCAUCCUUUGGGUUGGAGGAGAUGCCACGCUAUCACCUGGUGCCAUACCCUUCUUCAACCUGCCUCUACAGUCUAGGCACCUGCCCCAGCAUCACCCCCAACCACAGCCAUCAAGUUCUGAUCUAUAAACUGGAUGACAAUGGGUGACUGUUUUUUUUAAUUGUUUUUUAUUGCUUGAAUAGGAAGCUGCUCAUCAGUGCAGAGUGUGGUUUACUGGAGGGAGUCAGGUGGCAGAGCAGUUAGGGAAGCGGGCUUGUAAUCAGAAGGUUGCCAGUUCGAUUCCUGGCCGUGCCAGAUGACGUUGUGUCCUUGGGCAAGGCACUUCACCCUACUUGCCUCGGGGGAAUGUCCCUGUACUUACUGUAAGUCGCUCUGGAUAAGAGCGUCUGCUAAAUGACUAAAUGUAAAUGUACUGUGAUUUAACCUUCAAUUUCACACAUAGAUGAACCGCAGCCUGAAGGCUUCCCCUUGUAAGAUUUUCCACAGGUUUGGUCAAGACAGUCGAAAUCAAGGUCUGUUGUCCUCAAAGGACAUUUUAUUACAGUUUCACUGCCUUAUAUGCUGAUGUAGGAGAUUCCAUGCAGAACUUCGUUUUUAUUGUCAAUGCUCAUUAAAAAUGAGCCUAUUCAGGGAUACUCACAGUACAAAUAAUGCACCUUGCCUUGUUUCGGAAGGUUUGUAUCUGCUGGUAUGUUUCUUUUAUCAUCAGAUAUUUUCUUGUAUAUUUAUAGAAUAACAUGUGUUUCUCUAAACAUCCUAAUUCAGAGUGUCAUCACAAAACCCUCAAUUUUGAAACAUACAUAUGCAGAGGUACUGCUGGUGCAAUUUUGCUUUUUUGUGUGUGGUGUUUCGCUCUCUUCAUAACCCUUUGCUGCCCUCUGCUGGUCCAGAAGAAGA